GACGAACGCUGGCGGCGUGCCUAAUACAUGCAAGUCGAACGAGAGCGACCGGUGCUUGCACUGGUCAAUCUAGUGGCGAACGGGUGAGUAACACGUGGGUAACCUGCCCAUCAGAGGGGGAUAACAUCCGGAAACGGAUGCUAAAACCGCAUAGGUCUUCGAACCGCAUGGUUUGAAGAGGAAAAGAGGCGCAAGCUUCUGCUGAUGGAUGGACCCGCGGUGCAUUAGCUAGUUGGUGAGGUAACGGCUCACCAAGGCCGUGAUGCAUAGCCGACCUGAGAGGGUGAUCGGCCACAUUGGGACUGAGACACGGCCCAAACUCCUACGGGAGGCAGCAGUAGGGAAUCUUCCGCAAAGGACGCAAGUCUGACGGAGCAACGCCGCGUGAGUGAAGAAGGUUUUCGGAUCGUAAAACUCUGUUGUUAGAGAAGAACAAGUGCUAGAGUAACUGUUAGCGCCUUGACGGUAGCUAACCAGAAAGCCACGGCUAACUACGUG
rnacentral:rRNA from 1 species